rnacentral:rRNA from 1 species
CCAGACUCCUACGGGAGGCAGCAGUAGGGAAUCUUUCACAAUGGGCGAAAGCCUGAUGGAGCAACGCCGCGUGCAGGAUGAAGGCCUUCGGGUUGUAAACUGCUUUUAUAAGCGAGAAAUAUGAUGGUAACUUAUGAAUAAGGAUCGGCUAACUACGUGCCAGCAGCCGCGGUAAUACGGAGGAUGCGAGCGUUAUCCGGAUUUAUUGGGUUUAAAGGGUGCGUAGGCGGUAUUUUAAGUUAGUGGUAAAACGUCGGGGCUUCACCUUGAUUGGCCAUUAAAACUGGAGUACUAGAGUACAGACGAGGUAGGCGGAAUAAGUUAAGUAGCGGUGAAAUGCUUAGAUAUAACUUAGAACCCCGAUAGCGAAGGCAGCUUACCAGACUGUUACUGACGCUGAAGCACGAGAGCGUGGGUAGCGAACAGGAUUAGAUACCCCAGUA